rnacentral:rRNA from 1 species
ACAACAGGGAUUGCCCUAGUAACGGCGAGUGAAGCGGCAACAGCUCAAAUUUGAAAUCUGGCUCUUUUAGAGUCCGAGUUGUAAUUUGCAGAGGGCGCUUUGGCUUUGGCAGCGGUCCAAGUUCCUUGGAACAGGACGUCACAGAGGGUGAGAAUCCCGUACGUGGUCGCUAGCUAUUGCCGUGUAAAGCCCCUUCGACGAGUCGAGUUGUUUGGGAAUGCAGCUCUAAAUGGGAGGUAAAUUUCUUCUAAAGCUAAAUAUUGGCCAGAGACCGAUAGCGCACAAGUAGAGUGAUCGAAAGAUGAAAAGCACUUUGGAAAGAGAGUCAAACAGCACGUGAAAUUGUUGAAAGGGAAGCGCUUGCAGCCAGACUUGCUUGCAGUUGCUCAUCCGGGCUUUUGCCCGGUGCACUCUUCUGCAGGCAGGCCAGCAUCAGUUUGGGCGGUGGGAUAAAGGUCUCUGACACGUUCCUUCCUUCGGGUUGGCCAUAUAGGGGAGACGUCAUACCACCAGCCUGGACUGAGGUCCGCGCAUCUGCUAGGAUGCUGGCGUAAUGGCUGUAAGCGGCCCGUCUUGAAACACGGACCAAGGAGUCUAACAUCUAUGCGAGUGUUUGGGUGUCAAGCCCGAGCGCGUAAUGAAAGUGAACGGAGGUGGGAACCCGCAAGGGCGCACCAUCGACCGAUCCUGAAGUUUACGGAAGGAUUUGAGUAAGAGCAUGGCUGUUGGGACCCGAAAGAUGGUGAACUAUGCUUGAAUAGGGUGAAGCCAGAGGAAACUCUGGUGGAGGCUCGCAGCGGUUCUGACGUGCAAAUCGAUCGUCAAAUUUGGGCAUAGGGGCGAAAGACUAAUCGA